GGACUACCGGGGUAUCUAAUCCCAUUCGCUCCCCACGCUUUCGUCCUAGCAGUGUCAGGUGGCACCCAGAAGCCUGCCUUCGCUAUUGGUGUUCCGAACGAUAUCAACGCAUUUCACUACUACACCGUUCGUUCCAGCUUCCUCUUUGCCCCUCGAGUCUAUUAGUUUCAAAGGACAGAUUCCCAGUUGAGCUGAGAGAUUUCACCUCUGACUUAAUAAACCACCGAUCGGUACGCUUUACGCCCAAUGAUUCCGGAUAACGCUUGAGGUCUCUGUAUUACCGCGGCUGCUGGCAC
rnacentral:rRNA from 1 species